UCCAGGACCUGACCAGAGUUAUUUUAGGAUAAAGGUACUUUGUGGUAAUACCUAUUAUCUUGAAGAUGAGAAGAUUGCAUCGGACGGCAGCUGUGAGAAUGUGCAAACAGACAAAGCAGACCCUUCGAUCGACUGCCCUAAGGCAAAGGAAAGAUGUGGUGUCCUGAGAGAAGACCCUUUCACCAGCUGUCACGCGAUCAUAGCGCUGGAUAAUUACAUAAAAGUCUGUGAAGAAACUUUGUAUUCAUAUCCUUCGGUUGACAAUCUGCCUUGUCAUUACCUGGAGGCCUAUGCCAGAGCUUGCAGCCUGAUGGGCGUCCCUGAACUGAGUGGCUGGAGACAAAAGUCCAACUGCCCCACCACCCAUGAGAUCUUCUGUCCGGACAAGGUCUGUGCUUCUCACGAGUUCUGUGGUGAGACGGAGGCUAAUGGCUUGGGUUGCUUAUGUCACUCUGGUUUCGCAGCCCCAUACAGACAAAAUAAAACUUUCAGGGAUGCCACCACCUGCUAUAGGAACUCUGCUUCAGUUUCUUUAAUAAACUGUCUCCUGAUGGAAAGAGGCUUCGACUACACAACCUUACACCUCAGACCCAAAAUGCAAGGGUGAAUUGCAAGACGGCAUGGUGACCUUCAGUUUCAACAACACUGAAAUGUGCAAGGCAGAGGUCAUUGUGGGUUCACUUCAGCAGAGGUUCUCUCUCUAGUUUGGGGUCUUUCUGUGGGCUUGGCUUUAGUGUUGACCUUUUGCUUCUUAGUUUGGUUAAGUGAUCUUUUGAGCUUUUUCUAGUCAGCCACUAUCAACCUAACAUCUAAUUCCCUGUGACCCUGCAGGAUAGCGAUGCACAGGUUAUCUAGACGAACACCAUUAGUACGUCAGAAAGCAAUGACUCGAUUAUCCGUCAGGACGAAGUGGCACUUAACUUUCCUUGCAGCUAUGCUCAGCCACCAAUCAAGACUAUGUCUUUCAAGAUCCAGAGCAGCUCUGUGGUAUCAGAGAUUAAAUCUGGAAUUUGGCAAUACAAUCUGACCAUGAAGGCCUACAGCGAUGCUGGCCUCCAACAAACUGCAACAUUGGUUACUUUGAACCAGAAGAUUUGGGUGGAGCUGAAGACUACAGGACUGGGUAGUAAUUUGGUUGCCGUGGUGAUUGACUCCUGCUGGGCAAACAAAAACAAAGAAUCUGAUAAGUUACCGAAAUACGACCUGAUCAAAACAGGCUGUGCAAACCCCAAAGACAAGUCAGUGAAAGUAAAGGGAACUGGUGAAGGAACGUCCAGCGUCUUGUCCUUCAACAUGUUCCAGUUCUCCAAGAGCAAUGGUUACGUCUUCCUGCAUUGCAAAGUCAACCUGUGUGGCAAAAAGGACAAGAGCUGUGCCCCGGUAUGUACGUCAAAACAUCGCAGAUCUGCCAGGAAUAUGUACCUAGAGGGAGCCCCAGCCUUGAUCACCAUGGCGUGGACCAGUUAGGUUGUUAUCACUGCGACUUGGACAGGCUGACGGCUUUCGCACUGAGUCCUGACUGUGAUUCGUCUCCAUCCAGAGUGUGGGUCAAAAUCCUAUGCUGGGGAUCAAUGAGCUCAGUUCUCACAAGAAUCUUUCUUUUGACUGUAUACUGAAUUUAUCACUGAAAGACUGUGCAACAUUUUACUCAUAAAUACAGCAGAACUCAAGUCUCCCCUGGUUAAAUGUUUCUUUGAGUCAUGACUGUCUACAAUGAGUGAGACGCUCGAGUCCCGCUGGCUGUGUUGUUGUCAGAGCCGGGUUUACAUGGACGGGACAGCCGGCUCCUCCCCUUGUGUAUAAAAACUGUUUUAGUCAAGGACUAGAGUCAUUCUGUGUCAAUUUACAUGUGAAGGUAAGAGCUAACAAAAGAGUGCUAACAUUAGCAUGCUAACACAACAAUGCAGCUUGAGACAAGGACAAUUUUGUCUGCUGCUUGCGCUUAGUGCUUCAUUAUGGUGCGUUCCUAUUUGAUAACUCCUCCGUGUUUACCAGAAUGGAGGGGUGUUUGAGGUGUGUCUCUGUAGGAGAGCGGAGGCUUCAGUGUGGAGAAGGUGUGGCCAAACAGCAGUUUGUUUUGGUUUCAUGCUGGUGCUCAAGGACGACAUCUACUGGAUCAAAAAGUCACACAUUCUUUCUUUAACAUGAUGUCUGUUCAGAGGAACAUUGUUAAUGCAGAGCAAAACCAUCUAAAAUGGGAAAUAA